rnacentral:rRNA from 1 species
CCUACGGGAGGCUGCAGUGGGGAAUAUUGCACAAUGGGCGCAAGCCUGAUGCAGCCAUGCCGCGUGUGUGAAGAAGGCCUUCGGGUUGUAAAGCACUUUCAGCGGUGAGGAAGGCGGUGAGGUUAAUAACCUCAUCGAUUGACGUUACCCGCAGAAGAAGCACCGGCUAACUCCGUGCCAGCAGCCGCGGUAAUACGGAGGGUGCAAGCGUUAAUCGGAAUUACUGGGCGUAAAGCGCACGCAGGCGGUCUGUCAAGUCGGAUGUGAAAUCCCCGGGCUCAACCUGGGAACUGCAUUCGAAACUGGCAGGCUAGAGUCUUGUAGAGGGGGGUAGAAUUCCAGGUGUAGCGGUGAAAUGCGUAGAGAUCUGGAGGAAUACCGGUGGCGAAGGCGGCCCCCUGGACAAAGACUGACGCUCAGGUGCGAAAGCGUGGGGAGCAAACAGGAUUAGAUACCCUUGUAGUC